GGACAGCCCCGAGCCGCUCCGGAGCGCUUCCCCGUGCUUCCACAGGAGCGUUUGUAACGACUCACUAACUAAAUAUUAAAGCUGCACCGUUCAUGUUUUAAGUGUAAUUCCCUAUACCAACGGGUGAAGAGUUUAAGUCAGCUCUGUCACACUGUAUUUUAGUUGCUAUGUUCUCAUCUCCUUAACAGAAAAGCUCCUACCAUAGGAACAAGAAUGGAAGAUGACCAUUCAGUGCUGUGAACAAAGUCUCAGAGGAACUUCUUACGAACCUUCUUCUGGAUGGCAUAAAGCAUACAAUGAAGCAGCAGGUCCCUGUACUUGUGCAAGUGCAAUCCCAUCGCUGUGCGUGCAGCUUAGCACCUGGCUCUACACGGGACUCCAACAUGCCCAAUGUACUUUUGAUGGAUGGUCUGCAAGAAAUUUAAAGCCUGGAAGAACUGCACAGGACUGGUCCUUCAACCCACUGGUGAUUCAGAAUUUAUUGUGAGAUCUCUGUUCUCCUAAACAGUCUGCAUCUGCAUAUCCAAUAUUUCUGACAAAUAAAUACAAAAAUAAAUAGGGAUCUGGCCUCACAGA